AGCCAGAACUGCCACAAAAAGGCCGAGCUAUCAAUGUGAAAAUAGGUAACAGAGGGACCACAGACUUUGUCCAUCACAAAUCUGGACAGCCUUAACUUUUGUAACAAUAACAAUGGUGAUGACCGUGAUGAUAACAGUAACUUUCACUGUCUUCUCUUACCAGGCAGGGGGACACAAUGUUUCCUGAUGUUCUCAUAUGACUUUUUUACACAUUGUGACUAUUUCUAAGUUUCUACAGGCUGAGGUGUGAAUGGUCAUUUCUUCCCCUACUGCCUCCAGCAGGUCACCUGGGACUUUUUUUUUCCAAGUAACUGCAUUUUGGGGGUUGAUUGUUUGUUUGUUUUAAUAAAAAUAAAAGCACCUCUCACCAACCAUGAAAUUUUCCCUUGGCUCCUCGCAACUCCUUCUGACUUGAAAGAACAGAAUCCCAGAAAGAAAAGACAUACAGGGUGGUUUUCUUUUCCUCUUCUUAUGUGGUUGAUGUACUGUAUAGCGUCUAUGUUUACAGACUCUAUCUGCCUUGUGAUGUCAGCACAGUGAAUGGCAGAGAAAGGGUUCUGAUGUGCCAUUGGAUCGUUUGCCUUAGCACUGAAUGCUUCUGUUUUCCUUUUCUGUCUUGUAUUAAACAAACAAACAAACAAACAAACAAACAGAAAUAGAAAGUUGUAAUCGAAAGCUGUGUUAACACAACAUUCUCUUCCUCACUCCAACCCAGAGCUGUGAAUUCCAUCCCAGGAGCUUCAGGCAGAACUUGCAGGUGUGCAGAGGGGUUAAUGUAGGCAGAGCCUGGGCCUUAAUGCUGCCCUUCUACUAACUGAAUGUGUUUCUGGUGCCCAUCUGAGCCUGCAGAAUCACUCUGACAUUCCAGGCGCAGGAUGCAGGGAGUGCGUGACUUCUUACAGUGACUUCCUCACUGUGCUGCCUGCUGCGAGCAAACUUUUUAGGCCCCCUACCUGGGUCCAGGAGCACAGUUGUAAGCACAAUUGGACUAGCUUGAAAAGGCAAGAAAUAUAGACUUCUAUGGGGCCACCCCUGAAAGCCUGUAUUUACUGUAGUCUAAAAUGAGUCUCAUGGUAUAGGUGGGGGUAAGGAGUCACUAUAGAAAUGGAAUAUUUUACAUUUAUGUAUUUUUUUAGAGAAUAAUAUUUUUAUAGUGAGAUCUAUAUGCAUUAUGGAGCUUGAGUUUGAAAACACCCUCGAUUGACUGAGUUAUUUCUUCAUUCCCUUAUGGUUUCUUUCUGGUGAUUUCUAUAGCACUAACCCAGAUAUUGUGACUCAGCCUUAUACUGCCUCUGUGUCAAAUCCAAAGUUUCCAACAGAUGCAUGCUGUAAUAUUAAGCUUUCUGUGCUUGGCCCAUUAGAUUGUAUUAGUUUGAUGGUCCUUUGGACCAUUCCUUCAAUAAUCUGUAACUGUCUUUGGGAAGGACAUGGCAUUUUUCCAUGCAAGAGAAACCUAGUUGAUCAGAGUCCAACUCUUUCACACACUCAAGAAGUAAUUGCUGGGUUUAUGAUACAUCUACAUAUAUGCUAUAAAAUAUAUGAAAUGAUGAAUUCAAAGUAUAUAAACAUCUACACUGUCAGGAGUGUCCAACCUUCUGACAUUGUAACAUGAUGUCAUAUAAAACAUUGUGGGCAUUCACUAUCUGGAAUGCAUUCAGUAUAUUAGCUGCAGGUUGGACAUGCCUGAUCUAUAGUCUAUACAGAAAUACAGACAAUGUCACACUCACCUCAUUGGUCUUCUAUCCUUGCUGAGGUUGCGUUGUGAAUUCAGAGGUUGGUAGAAACGGAAAGAAUGUUAUCUUUAACCAUAAGUGGGACUGUGAAUUUGUAGUUCUUGAGUCUUUUACCCAAUUUUAUGCCAAAUCUAUGACUCCCUAUCCCUGCCCAUCCCUGUAUCCAGUUGCCUGAAUGUUUCAAACCUCCAAGUCUUCACACCAUUGCUGUUUAGCUCCCUUCCCAGACAGCAUCCUUCCCCAAGAGACCACACCCUUUCCCAGCAAGGCAAAGUCAUAAAUACUUUUUUUUCUAUUUCAAUAAAAAUAACCCCCCCCCCCUAGUUCCCAAAUAAAUAAUUUUAAAAUCUUCAUCACCGGAAUCCACCUCCCCCCCCACCCCCCACUCUUCCAAAAAACCCAACUCAAGCCUGUGUGUGAACCUCGCUGCCAAGGAGACAGCUGCAAAAAAU
rnacentral:lncRNA from 1 species